rnacentral:rRNA from 1 species
AGGUGAUUAUAGCGAUGGGGCUCACCUCUUACCAUUCCGAACAGAGAAGUUAAGCCCAUUAGCGCCGAUGGUACUGCCACAGGUGGGAGAGUAGGUCGUUGCCUUGCU